ACUCUUUUAAAAUGUAAAUUCCCUAAGAGGAGAUUCAUUCAUUAAAUGGAAUGGGGCUUACAGAUUUCAUGCCCCAGUGUAAAGAUGUGGAGACAGAGACCAGGAAGGACUUUGAAAGGACCAGCCUGGCUUGGCCUACCUCCUUGAGACUUUUUCCUCAAGGCUGCUAGUGUUUCUGAGGGAGCCAAUCAACCAGAUGGAAUCUGGGAUUUACUUUCUCAAGAAACUGGAAGAGAUAGACACCAUGUAUAUGCUUCUAGGCCCAGAAAUGGAGACAAACAGUCCUUCCUCAUUUCCUCCCCCCAUCCACCCAGACACACACACUCAUACACACACACAGUUGCCCUGACAGCAGUUUGCAUUGUGAGGUGUCUCUGGUUACAGGUUAGCCUGAACAGUGUUUUUUUUUUUAUGGAGGAGGGGACAGUGUGGUGGAAAAAGUGGUGACUUCUCUUUUGUCUCCUAUCCCUUCCCCUUUCUUUUCCUCUCCCUUCCUUUUCCCUACCCUUUCUUCCUUCCUCUUCCUUUCCCUUCCCAUUCUUUUCCCUUCUUCCUUUCUCCUCCAUUCCUUUCCCAUCUCUCCCUCCCCUUCUCUCUCCCCACUUCCCCCCUUCCUGUCCUCCCCUUCUCCCUUCUCCUUUCCCCUCCACUUUCUUCUUUUCCUUACCUUUCUCUCCUUUCUUCUUUCCUUCUCCAAAUUCCAACACCAUGGCCAGUGCUUAUCACUGGGAAGCCCGGAGAAGACAGAUGGCUCUAGACCGAAGGAGACACUACCAGCUUCAACAGGAAAUGAAGAACAAAAGGAUAGAGAAUGACCUGGAGGAACAAAGAUACUGCAUGGGGCUCGAACCCUAUCAGCGGUAUCACUCUCCGAGCCCUGAGCGCCAAUACGUGUAUGGCGACGUGAGCCCCGAGACCUCCCACCGGACCCCGGGGGCGUACAUCACUGGAGGAUCUCCAGAAGACUUAAGAGGCGGCUACUUGUUUCCUGAACUCCCGACCCUCGGCCACUGCAUGUGCCAAUGCCAGUGUCACUACCAAGGUCAGGGCCACCAUCAGAGCAGAAGCCACGUCCCGGACGAAGAACAGGACGAGGAGCAGGACGAAGUCCAGGACUUGGGCCAGAGCAACAGUCGGGAGCGGAACCGGGACCGGGACCGGGACCGGGACCGGGACCUAUGCCAGAGCAAGAGCCAGGUCCGGGACCGGGAACAGAGCAAGAGCCAGCGCCACACCAAGAGCCUGGUCCGGGACCGGGAACUGAGCAAGAGCCAGCGCCACACCAAGAGCCUGGUCCGGGACCGGGAACUGAGCAAGAGCCAGCGCCAGAGCAAAGACCCAGGUCAGACUGGACACCAUACUGGUCACCACCAUCACAAAAUUCAUUCCUUGGCUCACCAGCAAGCUGCUCAUCACUCCCAAGAGCCCAAACACAAUGCCCCAGAAACUCUUCGCCAUUCCAAACGUGGAAAGAGAUACACGGCUAUGGAGUAUGUCCAGCAGUGGUAGUAAAGAGAGGACCCAGCCUCAUAUUCAUCAGGAGAUGAGAAGCAAUCAGUAAUCAAUGAAGUUGGCAUCCAAAACUUUCCCUUAACAAAUCUUUUCCCCAACACUGAGGAUAACAGCACGCAUCAAUAAAGAAAUUGUUCUUGGAAUGACA
rnacentral:lncRNA from 1 species